rnacentral:rRNA from 1 species
AUGCACGCUGGCGGCGUGCCUAAUACAUGCAAGUCGAGCGAACAGACGAGGAGCUUGCUCCUCUGACGUUAGCGGCGGACGGGUGAGUAACACGUGGAUAACCUACCUAUAAGACUGGGUUAACUUCGGGAAACCGGAGCUAAUACCGGAUAAUAUAUUGAACCGCAUGGUUCAAUAGUGAAAGACGGUUUUGCUGUCACUUAUAGAUGGAUCCGCGCCGCAUUAGCUAGUUGGUAAGGUAACGGCUUACCAAGGCAACGAUGCGUAGCCGACCUGAGAGGGUGAUCGGCCACACUGGAACUGAGACACGGUCCAGACUCCUACGGGAGGCAGCAGUAGGGAAUCUUCCGCAAUGGGCGAAAGCCUGACGGAGCAACGCCGCGUGAGUGAUGAAGGUCUUCGGAUCGUAAAACUCUGUUAUUAGGGAAGAACAAAUGUGUAAGUAACUAUGCACGUCUUGACGGUACCUAAUCAGAAAGCCACGGCUAACUACGUG